CGUCAACCACUGCGCCACGACAGGAACUCCAUGCCUCUUCCUCUUUAUCUUUGUCUUGGAAAAUCUCACUGCUUUCAGGAUUGACCUCUAAAGACUCGUGUUCCCUGAAUAAGAGGCCCGGGACGGGUGGAAGAAGAAAGAAAAGGAGUCGGGAAUGGCUGUUUCUCAGGUAAAGUCGUAGUCUCUAUUGAUUUCGUCACUCUGUCCUUCUUUGGACUCACGAAUCUUGUCUGACUCUGAAGCAUCCUGCCUGACACCUCUCUUCACACUCACCUUCCCUCAGGGUCUGUCAUCUCCACUUAGAUUCAAUCUCCAUGACCCAGUGACCUGGAGCUUGUGACGAGACCCCACUGGACAUCGUCCUGAGCGGGGCUUCACCCGUGGAUUGGAGAUGGGGUGUCAGUGCUGUUGCUCAGCAGGGAUUAUUUAGGAGCCCCCCUGGAUGCACUGUCCUCUCUCCAUAAACCUGCAUGAAGAAGCUUCAUGUAGAAGUCAUAAUAUGCACAAUACCUGGUAAAAUCUGGAAAUCAGAACAGUUGGGACAAUUUGUUCUUUUUCUAAAGCUAAUGAAACUAAAUGUGUGAGUCAGUGACUCUAAAUCCUAAUGGUUGGGGAAUGAAAUGCAAAGUUCAGAAACAGAUAUAAGUGUUGGAGAGUAUUUUAGUCAUCACUGAGUUUAAACUAUGAAGUCAGCCUAAAUCUCUGACAGUUGUAAAUUCUUUAAAUCACUUUCAUUACUUCCAUUUCUCAAGCUGGA